rnacentral:rRNA from 1 species
GGUAUCCGCACGAGCGCACCCCUGUCCUUAGUUGCCAUCAGGUGAUGCUGGGAACUCUAAGGAGACAGCCGGUGACAAGCCGGAGGAAGGUGGGGAUGACGUCAAGUCAUCAUGGCUCUUACGUGUAGGGCUACACACGUGCUACAAUGGCCAGUACAGAGGGUUGCAAUGCCGCGAGGUGGAGCUAAUCCCACAAAGCUGGUCGUAGUCCGGAUUGGAGUCUGCAACUCGACUCCAUGAAGUCGGAAUCGCUAGUAAUCGUGAAUCAGAAUGUCACGGUGAAUACGUUCCCGGGCCUUGUACACACCGCCCGUCACACCAUGGGAGUGGGUUGCUCCAGAAGUAGAUAGCCUAACCUUCGGGAGGGCGUUUACCACGGAGUGAUUCAUGACUGGGGUGAAGUCGUAACAAGGUAGCCCUAGGGGAACCUGGGGCUGGAUCA